UACAGAGGGUGCGAGCGUUAAUCGGAAUUACUGGGCGUAAAGCGUGCGUAGACGGUUAUUUAAGUCGGGUGUGAAAGCCCCGGGCUCAACCUGGGAAUUGCAUUCGAGACUGAAUAGCUAGGGUACGGUAGAGGGAAGUGGAAUUUCCGGUGUAGCGGUGAAAUGCGUAGAUAUCGGAAGGAACAUCAGUGGCGAAAGCGGCCAUCUGGACCAGCACUGACGCUGAGGCACGAAAGCGUGGGGAGCAAACAGG
rnacentral:rRNA from 1 species